CCUUUCACCCUGCGCUUUGUUGCUUUCUUUUCAGCCAUUUAAGACCAAGUGCUAUUGUCCUCUGCUGCUGCUGCUGAAGCACGGCAAGGCUUUGAAGCAGUCUCCAUGACAAUCAGAGAUGUGCAGUCUGGAUCCUGAUGGGGGUGAUACACGGCUGUGAUUGUAUCCUGCCGAGCAAGCUGGUGACUAGAACAAGGACAAAAGGUUUCUGGUAAAAUUACUAUCAGGAUGUUGACAAGAGUAUUACCAGAAAAUCACCUGACAUUUGCUGACAAAGAAGGAAACAAACCUGUCCUGUUCCUCUCACCUCGGCAACACUGUCAAGCAUAGACAUUGGCACUUCAGAGAGAGAUGCUCCUUUGUAUCUUCCAGUACCCAAAGGAGGUAGCGGUUAUCUUACAGAAGGAAAUGUAGAACAAGAUGUGCAGAUUUGGAGAUGAUGUGGAACUGACAACCUGAGAAAUACCAUCCAUAAAGGAAGGACUGGGGAUCAGGCCUGGGAACUCCUGGGGAGAAUUAGCAGUGAAAAAGCAGAUGGAAGCAGUCAGGCCAGCUGACUCCUGAGGACUCUAGGAAGAAUGUGAAUGAAGCUUGAAGCAAGACAAAUAUGAAGAAAGUGAAUGAAGCUGUAAGCAAGAUGAGUAUCAAUGACUGAGGUGUGGUAAGGCAAAAGGAGAACACCAGCCUGGAUAGAAAGAAGAGGCAAUGAAUCCUCUUAACUCUUCUUGGGACCCUGCGGUCAUUCCAUCUAACUUCUCCAACUCUGAAAUGGUAAAAAACAAAAUAGAUAUAUGAAAUAAGGAGGAUGCCGCUCCAGAGACCUGGCUAAACAGAGAAGACCAAAAGGUGCAGUCCUGUGGGAAACUGAAAAUGCCCUGAGAAGAGAAAGCAUGGUCCUCCCUUAAAAGAACUGUAAGAUAUUACUCGAUAUUACACUUGAUACACAUUCAAUAUUACAACAUUAUUGUUUAGAAAUAGUGGCUUGCCUGUUUUCUUCCUUGUUGAUUAUCCUUCUCCUUUUCCUCGUCCUUCUUCUUUCAAAUAACAAGUUUCAGGAUAUCUUUGUCAUUCCUUCAACCACAUUGUAAAAGUCUUGUCCUCUGCCAGUGGUCUUCUUGCCUACAGGUGCAAAACUUUGUUCUUGAUGAAUUAUCAUAGAAAUACAUACUGCUUUAAUGGUCUAUCUUUCCAAGGGAAUAGAUCCCUCAAAUAAAAGUACAAAGCCCACUUUGCUCCUACUUGCUUCUACUUGUCCCAAUUAUAGAACAAAAAAUGCUUUUUGGUUUCAACAAACAUGAUCCCUUUCAAGGUGAUUUGAAUGCUGUAUUUUGUGGAUGCAGCAGUCCUGUACACAGUCUUUAUACAUCUCAGAACCAUGGGCAAGAAAAUCUAGUGCACAAUUUCUUUCCUAGUUUUCUGUACUAAAAAGGUUAUAGUUCCCAACAUUUUUUCUGUGCCAUGUCAGCACUUUACACUCUGAUCUUUAAUUCAUUCUUCUUUAACGACCAUUUGCUCAUAAACCAGAUCGCCGUGUCUUCCAAAUACUUUAUUAGACAAGUUUCUGUGUAUCCCUUCCCUUCCCUUCCCUUCCCUUCCCUUCCCUUCCCUUCCCUUCCCUUCCCUUCCCUUCCCUUCCCUUCCCUUCCCUUCCCUUCCCUUCCCUUCCCUUCCCUUCCCUUCCCUUCCCUUCCCUUCCCUUCCCUUCCCUUCCUUCCCUUCCCUUCCCUUCCCUUCCCUUCCCUUCCCUUCCCUUCCCUUCCCUUCCCUUCCCUUCCCUUCCCUUCCCUUCCCUUCCCUUCCCUUCCCUUCCCUUCCCUUCCCUUCCCUUCCCUUCCCUUCCCUUCCCUUCCCUUCCCCUAUUGUUCUUUUCCUAAAAGACUUCACAUAACACAGCUUUUUAUCCUGUCCCAGCUGUGUUUCUACAUUUCCCCUCAUUAGGAAGACAUCCAUCCUAUUCUCCUGGUUCCUGAGAGUUUAUGCCCAACUUUAACACACGCUUUGCGGUAAAUGUCCAACUCUUCCUCAGACUUGUGGAGUAAAUAUGACAGACAUAGGAUUGAAAGUGGGAGAUGAUACCUGUCUACCUAUCUGAGAAAUACUACAACAUUUCUCUGUUUUUUCAUGCUAUCACAGUUUACGGAAUUUUUAAAUGUAUAUUCUUAUAAGAAUUAUUACACAUUUCUCUAACUAGGGCAGCUGAAACCACAUAUAGCACUAUGUCUGUAUAGGCCUGUGAUUGAAAUGACAAAUGAUAUUUUUAUGUUGUAUAAUUUUCAGUUAUGUAAUUCCAAUUUCUUGAAAUCUCUCUUCUCACUGUUGCUCCUCAAAUAAUAGCUAUUUAUGAUUGUCACUUCUACACUGAACCUCCUAUGUUCCACCUGUUCUUCUGAGUUCUACAAAACUCAUUCUUCUAUAAAAACGUUAUUUUUUGCCAGAUUUCCUCCUAUUCUGUAAACUCAGUCUGCCCUGUUCCGUCAACUCAGUUUUCCCUUUGCUUUGCAAGUUUUUCCUUUUUACACUGAUGCUACUCCAGUGUGACCCACAAAGGUGGUGAGAGGUAGAUUAGCUAAACUUUACUCCUGGGCUCCUCAAGGCAAGGAAAAAUAUUUGUAUUGUAUCAUAGCAAUGAUUUAGAGACGUAAUUUUAACUGCUGAAAUGUGAAAGUCAGAAGAAGUAGGAAACAGGAUUCCUUGGCGUAGUCUUACCUAAGCCCACAGAGAAAAAGUUAUGGUAUCAAUACUUCCUUUGAGUACAAAACAGCUAAUCAGCCUCCUGCUAUCAUGCAAGGGCACUACUACAUCCAAACAUGUUCCUG